rnacentral:rRNA from 1 species
UAUAAGACUGGGAUAACUUCGGGAAACCGGAGCUAAUACCGGAUAACAUUUGGAACCGCAUGGUUCUAAAGUGAAAGAUGGUUUUGCUAUCACUUAUAGAUGGACCCGCGCCGUAUUAGCUAGUUGGUAAGGUAACGGCUUACCAAGGCGACGAUACGUAGCCGACCUGAGAGGGUGAUCGGCCACACUGGAACUGAGACACGGUCCAGACUCCUACGGGAGGCAGCAGUAGGGAAUCUUCCGCAAUGGGCGAAAGCCUGACGGAGCAACGCCGCGUGAGUGAUGAAGGGUUUCGGCUCGUAAAACUCUGUUAUUAGGGAAGAACAAAUGUGUAAGUAACUAUGCACAUCUUGACGGUACCUAAUCAGAAAGCCACGGCUAACUACGUGCCAGCAGCCGCGGUAAUACGUAGGUGGCAAGCGUUAUCCGGAAUUAUUGGGCGUAAAGCGCGCGUAGGCGGUUUCUUAAGUCUGAUGUGAAAGCCCACGGCUCAACCGUGGAGGGUCAUUGGAAACUGGGAAACUUGAGUGCAGAAGAGGAAAGUGGAAUUCCAUGUGUAGCGGUGAAAUGCGCAGAGAUAUGGAGGAACACCAGUGGCGAAGGCGACUUUCUGGUCUGUAACUGACGCUGAUGUGCGAAAGCGUGGGGAUCAAACAGGAUUAGAUACCCUGGUAGUCCACGCCGUAAACGAUGAGUGCUAAGUGUUAGGGGGUUUCCGCCCCUUAGUGCUGCAGCUAACGCAUUAAGCACUCCGCCUGGGGAGUACGACCGCAAGGUUGAAACUCAAAG